AUUAGUAAAAAAUAAUUUUGCCCUUUAUUUUUAGAUUGCAUACAACAUAGCUGGAAAUGCCUGGGAUAGAUACAUAUAUAAAAACAAACACAUUUUAAUUCAGCAUACUCUUUUAGAGUACAUAGGACUAUAGUUAAGUGUCACACAGUAUCUGACAUAUGACUAGAACCAAGUUAUAUUAGAAAGGCCCUUAUAGGAUCUAGUUGGAUAAAACAGAAUAUAGAAAAGGGUAGUACAACUAAGAUAGUCACUCCCAAUUCUGUACUUCAGUACCUGAAACAUUAAUAUAGAAGAUACAGAUGAAUCUGAAUCUAAAGUGAUCCACUGAUAAACCAUUUUUUAUAAAACUGUAUCUCCCUUAUAGAGUAUGCACCUCCCUCAUCCAGUAAUUAGGGGUUUUCUGGAUGAUUAGACUCAGAAAAGAUUCACUGCUUGGAUGUCCAGAGUAAAUGAUUAUACCUUAAAAUGUAUUAUUA
rnacentral:lncRNA from 1 species